GAUGAACGCUGGCGGCGUGCCUAAUACAUGCAAGUCGAGCGAACGGACGAGAAGCUUGCUUCUCUGAUGUUAGCGGCGGACGGGUGAGUAACACGUGGAUAACCUACCUAUAAGACUGGGAUAACUUCGGGAAACCGGAGCUAAUACCGGAUAAUAUUUUGAACCGCAUGGUUCAAAAGUGAAAGACGGUCUUGCUGUCACUUAUAGAUGGAUCCGCGCUGCAUUAGCUAGUUGGUAAGGUAACGGCUUACCAAGGCAACGAUGCAUAGCCGACCUGAGAGGGUGAUCGGCCACCCUGGAACUGAGACACGGUCCAGACUCCUACGGGAGGCAGCAGUAGGGAAUCUUCCGCAAAGGGCGAAAGCCUGACGGAGCAACGCCGCGUGAGUGAUGAAGGUCUUCGGAUCUUAAAACUCUUUUAUUAGGGAAGAACAUAUGUGUAAGUAACUGUGCACAUCUUGACGGUACCUAAUCAGAAAGCCACGGCUAACUACGUG
rnacentral:rRNA from 1 species